GCUUAGAGAGGGGUCAAUGUCCUAUCAGCUAGUUGGUAGGGUAAUGGCCUACCAAGGCUAAGACGGGUAGCCGGCCUGAGAGGGUGGUCGGCCACACUGGGACUGAGACACUGCCCAGACUCCUACGGGAGGCUGCAGUCGAGAAUCUUUCGCAAUGCCCGAAAGGGUGACGAAGCGACGCCGCGUGUGGGAAGAAGGCCUUCGGGUUGUAAACCACUGUCGGGAGUUAAGAAAUGUAAGGGUGUUAAUAGCAUCCUUACUUGACUAAGGCUCCGGAGGAAGCCACGGCUAACUCUGUGCCAGCAGCCGCGGUAAUACAGAGGCGGCAAGCGUUGUUCGGAAUUAUUGGGCGUAAAGAGCACGUAGGCGGCUUUGUAAGUCAGUUGUGAAAGCCUUCUGCUCAACGGAAGAACAGCAUCUGAUACUGCAAGGCUAGAGUGCGGAAGGG
rnacentral:rRNA from 1 species